AUCAACUUUCGAUGGUAGGAUAGAGGCCUACCAUGGUGGUAACGGGUAACGGGGUGUUAGGGCACGACACCGGAGAGGGAGCCUGAGAAACGGCUACCACAUCCAAGGAUGGCAGCAGGCGCGCAAAUUACCCAAUCCCGACACGGGGAGGUAGUGACAAUAAAUAACAAUACGGGGUUCUUUCGGAUCUCGUAAUUGGAAUGAGUACAAUUUAAAUCUCUUAACGAGGAACAAUUGGAGGGCAAGUCUGGUACCAGCAGCCGCGGUAAUUCCAGCUCCAAUAGCGUAUAUUAAAGUUGUUGCAGUUAAAAAGCUCGUAGUUGAAUUUCGGGAUCAAUAUGCUGGUCGUGCCAUUGGUACGUACUAGUAUUAUUGGUUUCUUCCUUCUGAUGAAUCGUGAUGUCAUUAAGUUGAUGUCAUGGGGAAUCAGGACUGUUACUUUGGAAAAAUUAGAGUGUUUAAAGCAGGCUCGCGCUUGAAUACAUUAGCAUGGAAUAAUGAAAUAGGACGUUUGAUUCUAUUUGUUGGUUUCUAGGAUUGACGUAAUGAUUAAUAGGGAUAGUUGGGGGCAUUAGUAUUCAAUUGUCAGAGGUGAAAUUCUUGGAUUUAUUGAAGACUAACUACUGCGAAAGCAUUUGCCAAGGAUGUUUUCAUUAAUCAAGAACGAAAGUUGGGGGCUCGAAGACGAUCAGAUACCGUCCUAGUCUCAACCAUAAACGAUGCCGACCAGGGAUCAGCGGAUGUUACUUUUAGGACUCCGCUGGCACCUUAUGGGAAACCAAAGUGUUUGGGUUC
rnacentral:rRNA from 1 species